UCUCCUGUAGCUCAGUGGUAGAGCGUCCGAUCGGUGUGCGGAAGGUCAUAGGUUCGAUUACUGUUGAAAAAA